CGGCUGGGAUAAGGUCGUCGCAUGACUCAGUGCGCAUGCGCGGUCAGCCAUGUUUGAUGCUAUUCCCCACUCCUAAUGUUCACCACACAAUGUAAACAAACAGUGUAUGGCAUGUCAAAAAAAUUUCAACAUCAAAAUUUAAUCAUUUAUUUAUUGAAUAAAUAUUAUACGUCAAUGUUGUGCGAUCGGUUGCUUCCCCCAGAGAUUCAGAUUGUCGUCGAAAAUGAUCUACUGGUGCUGGUGUGAGCCAAAUAAAACCAAGCUCAACGUUAUGUGAGAUAUAUUUAUAAAGAUCCAACAUAAUGAAUCUCAAUAUGAACAACAUCGUCAGGAUGGCUCAAAAAAAAUUAAAACCAAAUGCAGUACCAACUUUGUUUGGUGAUGUUUUGAUAGAUUUUUUAAGUAAAAUUCACCAAAAUACAAGUGACGUGAUACAUGAUGUUAGUUGGACUUCAUUUGAAUCACUGAAGCAGUUGUCAACAAUAAACUUAGGUAAAUCUUUUUUCAGACCAUUGCUUGAUGUAAUUAUCGAUGAAUAUACCACUGACAACAAAAAGAGUUUAUUCAAGUUACUAAAGUCUAAUAAUACCAAAUGUUUACCAAGUGAUGAGCAGCAGAUUGAAUUGCCACUAGUAAACUCGGAUAAGGAUCAUUUAGUAUCAAUUCUUGCUGAUGAAUUACAAGCAGAAAUAAUAAAAAAAUAUAAUGAAGGAGUUAUUAAAUUUAAUUUCAUGCUUCAAAAUCAACAUUGUCUUUAUCACCACGAAAUUUCGAGUUUAAACUAGGAAGUAGAAAGCUU